UCCUGGUUAACCCAGGCAGUCUCUCUAGAGUGCCCAACUUAAUGCUGGCAACUAAAGAUAGGGGUUGCGCUCGUUGCGAGACUUAACCCAACAUUUCACAACACGAGCUGACGACAGCCAUGCAGCACCUGUCACUCGAUUCUCUUGCGAGCACUCCAGACAUUACUCCGGAUUCCGAGGAUUUCAAGCCUAGGUAAGGUUUUGCGCGUUGCUUCGAAUUAAACCACAUAAUCCACCGCUUGUGCGGGCCCCCGUCAAUUCCUUUGAGUUUUAGUCUUGCGACCGUACUCCCCAGGCGGAGCACUUAAUGCGUUAGCUGCGUCUCUGAAGGGGUCAAUACCUCCAAAAACUAGUGCUCAUCGUUUACGGCGUGGACUAC
rnacentral:misc_RNA from 1 species